AUUGAACGCUGGCGGCAUGCCUUACACAUGCAAGUCGAACGGCAGCACGGGAGCAAUCCUGGUGGCGAGUGGCGAACGGGUGAGUAAUAUAUCGGAACGUGCCCAGUCGUGGGGGAUAACGCAGCGAAAGCUGUGCUAAUACCGCAUACGAUCUACGAAUGAAAGCGGGGGAUCGCAAGACCUCGCGCGAUUGGAGCGGCCGAUAUCAGAUUAGCUAGUUGGUGAGGUAAAGGCACACCAAGGCGACGAUCUGUAGCUGGUCUGAGAGGACGACCAGCCACACUGGAACUGAGACACGGUCCAGACUCCUACGGGAGGCAGCAGUGGGGAAUUUUGGACAAUGGGCGAAAGCCUGAUCCAGCAAUGCCGCGUGCAGGAUGAAGGCCUUCGGGUUGUAAACUGCUUUUGUACGGAACGAAACGGUGAGCUCUAAUACAGUUUGCUAAUGACGGUACCGUAAGAAUAAGCACCGGCUAACUACGUGCCAGCAGCCGCGGUAACAC
rnacentral:rRNA from 1 species